rnacentral:lncRNA from 1 species
AGGGCUGAUAUCUAGAGUCCUAUCCUGAAAAGACUUCUAACACAGCUCAGCUAUGGUCGUAUUAUGGAAAUUGUGGUACAAGAACCCUUGAGAACUGAGUGAACAGCAGGGGGCAGUGUUGGCCCAAUAGAACUGGUAAGAUGCAGCCCUGGCCCAACCUGGAAGAAGAAAUCGACUUACUGGCUAACAUGCUGGCCCAUCAAGACCCUGUCCCCCAUCGCCAGGAUACUGUCCCCCAGCGCUUCCGCUGGCCUGCAGCCACCCUGGUGUCCCCAGGACAGGAGCCUGAUACCCCAUCCCCUCAGGGCGCUCAAGUUCCCACCGUCAGAGCCUCUCAUUCAUCUUCGAGGCCUGUGGAGAUGUCACCUGUGGAUCCCCCACACCCAUCUAAUGAUGUCCUCGUUCUCAUGAUGAUCGUGGUCUGUGCAGUGGCUGGGCUCUCGGCGCUGGUUGUAGCUGUUGUCUGCUGGUGCAGGUGAGACCCUGGUGAGACCCCCCACCUCCUAUGGGCAUGCACC